CUUAUUUAAAGAUUUUAGUCACAUGUUAUUCAAGGUUAAAUUGUGUGAUUGAUGUGUCUGGAAUAUAUAUACAGGAAUAUACAUGAUGCAUAAUAAAACGUACGUUGUGCUGUUUGUUGUACUGCUGUUGACCCUUCCGUCUAGUGUAGGAGGUGGACCAAUAUGCUACUAUUCGUGUCUUGCCUCCGUUGGAGCGGCUGCGUUAUUUGGGACAGCAGCCAUACUACCAGUUCUUGGUUUUACAUCUUCUGGAAUAACAGCCGGAUCAUGGGCUGCAACAUGGAUGGCUUCGUUUGGAGGUGCUGUACCUGCCGGUAGUGUGUUUGCUACUUUUCAAUCGGCAGGAAUGACGGGGGCAACUACGAAAUUGGCCGCUGCAGCUACUGGUUCCGCUUCUGCCAUAUGUGUUGCCAUUUGCGCACUUUCCCCAUAAAUAGAGAUCAUUUGUUUAAGUUUAACACACUUUACAAUGUACUUAAUCCAACUUUGUACUUGUUUCGGUCCUAGAAUAAUUUGAUUUGAGUGUCACUGAUGAGUCCUUUGUAGUGUAGACUAAUCGGGUUUAUGGCAUACAGGAUUAAAAGCCUAAUAUCUUUAAUGAUUUUGUAAAUGUUUUCUUGAUCAACAUAUAAACAUGAUUCAGUAUAUUUUUUAUCAAAACUAUUGUAUUAUUAUAGUGCAAGCAUAUGCAAAAUCUUUAGUUCAAAUAUAAAUAAAACAUGUGCAUGUAAAACGUAUUUAUGUUUAAAAUUUAAAUAUACUUAAUCAUCUAAACGUGAAGGGUGAUAUUUGUAAAAUGGCAUAUACAGAUAAAAUCUUUUUUAUGAACGCUCAAUAACUUUUUGCCUGUUAAUCAUAUUUGACUUGUAGUUAAACAAAAACAGGUUAAUUUAAAGAACAACCAUUUACGACAAGUUUUUAAUUAUUUUAUCUUUGUUUCUAACACACGUCAGUAUGAAUAUAUUUUGAACAAUUAAGCAUUGUUAACAUGGCAUUAUAAUGACUUUUUCGUCGUUAUUAAAGGUAUUUCUUACAAUGAUUUCACAAAGCUAUUAAAAUACAUUAAGUAUAAAAGACAACUGACUAAAGCAAUAACGUCUACAUGCGUACAGAAAUAUUAUAAGGAAAAGUUUAUGAAGCAGUGCAUGUUUUGCAUCUUUUGUUUACACAUUAUAGUGCAUUAGCAUUAAUUGCGCAUACACAUUUAACUGUUUAGUAAAUCACUUCCGUGAAAAUAAGGUAAGGUUUAAAUAUAUUCACACGAGUACUGUUACGAAUUAGUAAUCGUAUGAUUAAAUUAAUUGAUCUGGUAUUGUCCGUAAUUUUUUUCUAGUAAUUUUAUGAAUCAGAUGUUUUAUUUACUCUUUUAUAUCACUGUUUCGAUGAUGGAAUUUCUCCUCGUACAGAAUAUUCACGGUUGGUUAGCAGAUACGCAUAUGAUAAAUGAUGUAAGAAUGUGUUUAUCUUUUAACUUAUUUAUUUUCUUAGUUUCUCUAAGAAGACGCCACGCUUGUUGGCGAAACAUGUCGACCAGAAUAAACUCUAACCAUGCGGAAAUUGAUGGAUGUGGUUGUCUUUAGUAUCGUUUUAUUUCCUUAAUGUAAUACAUUUUGUGUUAUCCGUAAUCAUCUAAAUCUCAACAGUGCCAUAGUUUAUUUACUCGAGCAGCCAUUUUAAUUGUGUAUUAGCGGUUUAUUACACAAGAUUGCUUGUUUACAUAACAAACGUUUUGAUUGGCUGGUCUACUGACCCCAAAACUAUAAAUAGAAGGUUGACAAAACUAACUUAGAUAUGAUCGCAUCGUCUACAAGAGCAGCCAAAAAAAGCUUGUCGUUAUAUUUAGUCAACCUUGUGAAAAUGUCCCAGCCACAGACAACCUUAAGUCUGGUACGCAGCUUUUAAAUGUUUUAAGAAAACUAAACUUUCUACGUUAGAGUUACACAUUGCUAUUGUUUGUUUUGCAGAAGUCAACAUGCAACCUUCAACCGUCGUUCCACUUAGUCAACCUUCUAUUGUUACGAUAAUAUGAGAGAGGUUUUCUGGAAAUCUACUUUCAAUUUAACAGAAAGAAAUAAGAUAAAUGAAUAUUUUAUUGAAUCUAUCAUUAUAAUUAUAUUAUAUUAUCAGUAUAUUCUAAAAAUGCCCAUGUGCUUAUUCAAUUAUUUGUUUAAUCUCUGAUUGUCAAUAAAGAACCUCUUUUUUGUUAAAGGCAAUUUAUGUUGCCCAUUAAAUGUUUUGUAUUUUGUUA